rnacentral:rRNA from 1 species
GACAGAGGGUGCAAACGUUGUUCGGAAUUACUGGGCGUAAAGGGCUCGUAGGCGGCCAACUAAGUCGGAUGUGAAAUCCCCAGGCUUAACCUGGGAACUGCAUCCGAUACUGGAUGGCUUGAAUCCGGGAGAGGGAUGCAGAAUUCCAGGUGUAGCGGUGAAAUGCGUAGAUAUCUGGAGGAAUACCGGUGGCGAAGGCGGCAUCCUGGACCGGCAUUGACGCUGAGGAGCGAAAGCUAGGGGAGCAAACGGG